AACAAGGCAAGUCUGACCAAGCACACGGUUCAACCCAAGCGAGUGUACUUAACAAGAUCUCGAACAAGAAAGAUAAUGGAAAAUCAGGAGCAAGUACAGAACCUACAGGGGCAGGUCUCCGAAUUGAAAGAUCAGCUUUCUGAAAUCAUGAGACUAAUGAAGGAAAUGUCUCAGAACAAACCUACUUCAGAACCUAACCCACCAUUACCUCCUCCGCCUCCUACAACAAAUGAUCCUCAGCAAGCUUCAACCUCUUUUACCUUUCAGUCUCCCAUUCCGGACCCGACAAUCACUGUCAAUCCGGUGACCAUAAAUAAUGACCCACCUUUUUCCUAUUACCCGGCCGUCUCAAAUGCCGAGCCUCACCAUUCAAUCCCGAUCCCUCCAGUUUACUCCACCCCUCAGCUCCCAGUUGGAGGAGCAUGUCAUACGGUGGAAGGAGAACAUAGGGCGAGAGAUAACGAGAAACUAUCUGCCCUAGAAGAAAGACUGAGGGCAAUAGAGGGGCUGAACAUGUAUGGUUCAGUCGAUGUGUCGUCACUGAGAUUGGUGCCAGAUGUGGUGGUACCACCCAAAUUCAAGGUUCCGGAUUUCGACAAGUACACCGGAAACUUGGAUCCCCGCAUCCACCUGGCAACCUACAUUGCCAAAAUGUCUGCCUUAACGGAAGACGAUAGACUUCUCAUUCACUUCUUUCACGAGAGCCUCUCCGGAGCAGCUCUGAGAUGGUGCAUACAAUUGGACAGGAGCAAGCUGCACUCCUGGAAGGAUUUAGCCGAUACCUUUCUAAAGCAGUAUAAAUUCAAUUGUGAUGCGGCACCCACAAGGAGGGACCUCCAGAACCUGGUACAGAAAGACCGGGAAGGUUUCAAGCAGUAUGCCCAACGAUGGAGGGAGAAGGCUGCAGAAGUAUAUCCUCCGGUGACCGACAAUGAACUCUGCUCCCUAUUCAUCGAAACAUUGAAGGCUCCCUACUUCAACCUGAUGAUUGGAAAUACCUCCAACAGCUUCUCAGAUAUCAUCCAAGCUGGUGAGAGAAUUGAAGCUAAUCUGAGAAUAGGAAGACUACAGGAGUUGGCUGAGAACCCUGUAAAGAAGACUGCCAGCUUUGGCAAGAAAAAGGAAGGUGAUGUGCACUCUGUCACCCGUCAGAAUAAUUACUCCCAGUUUCCCCAAAAUAAUUACCGGCCAUAUCCUCCCUCCCAUGGCCAGACCAUCGCAAACAUUCCACCUUCUUUCCCUAAUUAUCCACAACCACGCCCACAAUACGCCCCACCCACAAAUUUCCAACCAAGACCACCUCCUCCACCAACUCAACCACGACCACCACAAAAUAACCCGAGACCUCCAAGGAAUCCUGAUCCACCCCUUCCCCUCCCUCUCAGUGAAAUAUACCGAUACCUUGUCGGUAUAAACCAAAUCGUACCAGUCCCUUUGGACCCAAUCCAGCCGCCGUAUCCCAGGUGGUAUGAUGCCACAGCCCGUUGUGAGUAUCAUGGAGGAGCACAAGGGCAUUCAACCGACAACUGCGGGGCACUCAGAGGGAGGGUGCACGCCUUAAUCCGGAACGGGUGGUUGAAGAUUGAGGGAAACGGUUCCCUCCCCAAUGUCACCUCAAAUCCACUGCCCAACCAUAAUGCGGGUAGUGGUGUAAAUAUGAUUGAGUCUGAGGGAGAAAGAUCGACACUGGAAGUGGAUAAGUUGGUCCCUUACUUCAAAGAAAUUUUUGCCAUAUCAGCAAGAGAAGGUUACCUUGGCCCCCAGGCAACGGGAUUAGAGGAGAAUACGGGGUGUCCUUAUCAUGGAGGGGCAGCUGAUCAUGAGCUGCGAGACUGUGAGGGGUUCAGGCAAGAGGUCCGGAACUUAUUGUCUUUUAAGGUUUUGAGAUGUCAGAAGAGGUCAAAAACGGAAGGGGAAGUGAACACCACAAGAUUCAGCCAAACUGCUUCUACCUCCAAGCCCAGAAUCACCUUCUCACCCCCAGUAGCCUCACCACCAGUAACAGUUAUUCAGACUCCGCCACAGCUCCCCAUCACCAACACUCAUGCUGUCCCUUGGAACUAUAAUUUCCAAGUUUUUACUCAGGGAGCGUCAAGCAGCACAUCCGCUCCUAGCCUCGCCUCACCUCCGGCACUACCAAAGCCAUGUUUCGCCCCUCACGAGCACUUCAGGAUGACUUAUGCUGGACCUGCCAGCAACAUCGCUCCCCAAACAAGUCCCCAGCCUAUUAUUGCAAUAAAACCCUCUCCACCUGAGCAAGAAGUCAAGUUUAUAACCCGAAGUGGGAGGUGUUACGGGAAC
rnacentral:misc_RNA from 1 species